AUAGUAAACAUCCCUGGAGAGACACCGCGAGAGACCUUGGCAUCGGGCCCGCACGUAGCACUCGCUAAACGUUCAUUGCUAUUUUAAAAGAGAAGGGAGAAGAUAAUGAAGAGAUGAACAGUUUUGAAGGGAAGACGAUACGAACAUGAAAAAACAUCUCAAUCACCUGAAUCCCCUUGGGUGCAAUUUUUCGUUGGACUCGACAUUCUGUAAACGGAACCUGGACUCGGGUUUUGAGCAUACGAAUUUAUCCAAAGAAUUUACAGAUACAAGGCCAGACUAUAAGGUGGAAAAGAGACUUGAGAAUUUCCCUCUCCCUGCUGUGUCAAUAUACCAAAUGAACCAGGAAAAAAUAUUAAAUGGAUCCAGAGAUGUCUGGUUCUCACUCCUAGGCUCUGUUCCAGAAAUGUCUACUAACAAGGUGAAAAGGAAUGGGAAAAGUGGAAAAGAAAUACAUCAGAGUGGUGUUUCUCCACCAGGGUCCUGUAUUAUUUAG
rnacentral:lncRNA from 1 species